rnacentral:rRNA from 1 species
CCUACGAGAGGCAGCAGUGGGGGAUAUUGCACAAUGGGGGAAACCCUGAUGCAGCGACGCCGCGUGUGGGAAGACGGUCCUCUGGAUUGUAAACCACUGUCCCCAGGGACGAAGAUGACGGUACCUGGGGAGGAAGCUCCGGCUAACUACGUGCCAGCAGCCGCGGUAAUACGUAGGGAGCGAGCGUUGUCCGGAAUUACUGGGUGUAAAGGGAGCGUAGGCGGGACUGCAAGUUGGGUGUCAAAUCUACCGGCUCAACCGGUAGCCGCACUCAAAACUGCAGUUCUUGAGUGAAGUAGAGGAAGGCGGAAUUCCUAGUGUAGCGGUGAAAUGCGUAGAUAUUAGGAGGAACACCAGUGGCGAAGGCGGCCUGCUGGGCUUUUACUGACGCUGAGGCUCGAAAGUGUGGGAGCAAACAGGAUUAGAUACCCCAGUAGUC